rnacentral:rRNA from 1 species
UGGGGAAUUUUGGACAAUGGGCGAAAGCCUGAUCCAGCAAUGCCGCGUGUGUGAAGAAGGCCUUCGGGUUGUAAAGCACUUUUGUCCGGAAAGAAAACGCCGUGGUUAAUACCCGUGGCGGAUGACGGUACCGGAAGAAUAAGCACCGGCUAACUACGUGCCAGCAGCCGCGGUAAUACGUAGGGUGCAAGCGUUAAUCGGAAUUACUGGGCGUAAAGCGUGCGCAGGCGGUCCGCUAAGACAGAUGUGAAAUCCCCGGGCUUAACCUGGGAACUGCAUUUGUGACUGGCGGGCUAGAGUAUGGCAGAGGGGGGUAGAAUUCCACGUGUAGCAGUGAAAUGCGUAGAGAUGUGGAGGAAUACCGAUGGCGAAGGCAGCCCCCUAGGCCAAUACUGACGCUCAUGCACGAAAGCGUGGGGAGCAAACAGG